UACGUAGGUGGCAAGCGUUGCCCGGAAUUAUUGGGCGUAAAGCGCGCGCAGGUGGUUCCUUAAGUCUGAUGUGAAAGCCCACGGCUCAACCGUGGAGGGUCAUUGGAAACUGGGGAACUUGAGUGCAGAAGAGGAGAGUGGAAUUCCACGUGUAGCGGUGAAAUGCGUAGAGAUGUGGAGGAACACCAGGUGGCGAAGGCGACUCUCUGGUCUGUGAACUGACCGCUGAGGCGCGAAAGCGUGGGGAGCAAACAGGAUUGAGAUAGUCCUGGUGAGUCCAG
rnacentral:rRNA from 1 species